AUUGAACGCUGGCGGCAGGCCUAACACAUGCAAGUCGAAUGGUAACAGGAAACAGCUUGCUGUUUCGCUGACGAGUGGCGGACGGGUGAGUAAUGUCUGGGAAACUGCCUGAUGGAGGGGGAUAACUACUGGAAACGGUAGCUAAUACCGCAUAACGUCGCAAGACCAAAGAGGGGGACCUUCGGGCCUCUUGCCAUCAGAUGUGCCCAGAUGGGAUUAGCUAGUAGGUGGGGUAACGGCUCACCUAGGCGACGAUCCCUAGCUGGUCUGAGAGGAUGACCAGCCACACUGGAACUGAGACACGGUCCAGACUCCUACGGGAGGCAGCAGUGGGGAAUAUUGCACAAUGGGCGCAAGUCUGAUGCAGCCAUGCCGCGUGUAUGAAGAAGGCCUUCGGGUUGUAAAGUACUUUCAGCGGGGAGGAAGGGAGUAAAGUUAAUACCUUUGCUCAUUGACGUUACCCGCAGAAGAAGCACCGGCUAACUCCGUG
rnacentral:rRNA from 1 species